rnacentral:misc_RNA from 1 species
GAUGAAGAACGUAGCGAAAUGCGAUAAGUAGUGUGAAUUGCAGAAUUCAGUGAAUCAUCGAAUCUUUGAACGCACAUUGCGCCCCUUGGUAUCCCGAGGGGCAUGCCUGUUCGAGCGUCAUUUCACCACUCAAGCCUGGCUUGGUGUUGGGCGACGUCCUCUUUGGGGACGCGCCUCGAAACGCUCGGCGGCGUGGCACCGGCUUUAAGCGUAGCAGAAUCUUUCGCUUUGGAAGUCGGGGCCCCGUCUGCCGGAAGACCUGCUCGCAAGGUUGACCUCGGAUCAGGCAGGGAUACCCGCUGAACUUAAGCAUAUUAAUAAGCGGAGGA